rnacentral:rRNA from 1 species
CUACGGGUUGCUGCAGUGGGGAAUUUUGGACAAUGGGCGCAAGCCUGAUCCAGCCAUUCCGCGUGAGUGAAGAAGGCCUUCGGGUUGUAAAGCUCUUUCGCAAGGGAAGAAAACUUAUCCUCUAACAUAGGGUGAGGUUGACGGUACCUUGAUAAGAAGCACCGGCUAACUACGUGCCAGCAGCCGCGGUAAUACGUAGGGUGCGAGCGUUAAUCGGAAUUACUGGGCGUAAAGCGUGCGCAGGCUGUUUUGUAAGUCAGAUGUGAAAUCCCCGAGCUCAACUUGGGAACUGCGUUUGAAACUACAAGACUAGAAUAUGUCAGAGGGGGGUAGAAUUCCAUGUGUAGCAGUGAAAUGCGUAGAGAUGUGGAGGAAUACCAAUGGCGAAGGCAGCCCCCUGGGAUAAUAUUGACGCUCAUGCACGAAAGCGUGGGGAGCAAACAGGAUUAGAUACCCCGGUAGUC